GGGGGUGUACUGGUCUCGACAGGGCGGACAAAGGUGCGCAGGCAACUCGUCAGGCGAUCGACGUUAAUGAAGCAAAUCCAUAAUUGCCAAUGAUGAGCAAUUCGCUAUUGCCGCCUAAAAACGGUUAGCCGGGGCUGCUAGAGCCUUGUUACCAAAGAUAGCCGGCGGGGACUUCGGUCCCCGUCGUCA
rnacentral:tmRNA from 1 species